rnacentral:ribozyme from 1 species
GGGACACUGCCAGUGAUGGUGGUGUCUUUGCUUAAUCUAGCCGUUCCACAACGACAGUCCCAAGCCUGUGUAAAUAGAGAGGGGGUU